rnacentral:rRNA from 1 species
GAUGAACGCUGGCGGCGUGCCUAAUACAUGCAAGUCGAGCGAACGGACGAGAAGCUUGCUUCUCUGAUGUUAGCGGCGGACGGGUGAGUAACACGUGGAUAACCUACCUAUAAGACUGGGAUAACUUCGGGAAACCGGAGCUAAUACCGGAUAAUAUUUUGAACCGCAUGGUUCAAAGGUGAAAGACGGUCUUGCUGUCACUUAUAGAUGGAUCCGCGCUGCAUUAGCUAGUUGGUAAGGUAACGGCUUACCAAGGCAACGAUGCAUAGCCGACCUGAGAGGGUGAGCGGCCACACUGGAACUGAGACACGGACCAGACUCCUACGGGAGGCAGCAGUAGGGAAUCUUCCGCAAUGGGCGAAAGCCUGACGGAGCAACGCCGCGGGAGUGAUGAAGGUCUUCGGAUCGUAAAACUCUGUUAUUAGGGAAGAACAUAUGUGUAAGUAACUGUGCACAGCUUGACGGUACCUAAUCAGAAAGCCACGGCUAACUACGUG